ACUCAAAUGAAUUGACGGGGACCCGCACAAGCGGUGGAGCAUGUGGUUUAAUUCGAGGCAACGCGAAGAACCUUACCAAGGCUUGACAUGGAAACGCAAGGCGUAGAGAUACGCUCCCCCUUCGGGGCGUUUCACACAGGUGGUGCAUGGUUGUCGUCAGCUCGUGUCGUGAGAUGUUGGGUUAAGUCCCGCAACGAGCGCAACCCUUGCGUCCAGUUGCCAGCGCGUGAAGGCGGGCACACUGGAGGGACUGCCGUGGACAACACGGAGGAAGGUGGGGAUGAUGUCAAAUCAUCAUGCCCCUUAUGUCUUGGGCUACACACGUGCUACAAUGGGCGUUACAGCGUGAAGCGAGGCAGCGAUGCGGAGCGAAACACGAAAAGCGUCCUCAGUUCGGAUUGCAGGCUGCAACCCGCCUGCAUGAAGUUGGAAUCGCUAGUAAUCGCGAAUCAGCAUGUCGCGGUGAAUACGUUCCCGGGUCUUGUACACACCGCCCGU
rnacentral:rRNA from 1 species